CCGAGCCCUGCCGCGCCCCGGCGCACCUGCCCGGAGCGGCCGCGGCCCAGGCCCAGGUCCAGGCCGGUGCCGUAGCCUAUAGCUGAGGGGAGCGGGAGAGAGAGUUGUUGUACGAAGCGGGAAACAGGCCCCCGGGAGGGUCAGCGAAGGGCCAGGCUAAGGUGGGAGGUUUCCUGCGAAAUUUGCAGGGAAAAGGUAAUAGAAUUUGGAUAAUUGCUGCCAAAAUUGGUAGUAUCCAGCAGGACCCAUGAGCUGGAUCCAGGUUUAUGCACCCCUCAUAUGUUGAGAUAUACCCAGAUGUGCACCGACUUGUUUUAUGUACCAUGUGUGGCUCAAAUGAAGACCAGUAUUUCAGGUUUAUUUCUACUUUUGCACGCUGUUACCCAUCCUAGAUAUUCCAGCUGUUCAGUGCAUCAGUCCCCUUUUAUAUUUUGCAUCAUCUGCUUCUGACCCAGGUUUGAUACCAUCACUGUCAUUUACUAUGAUCUGAUCUUCAUCACACAUCUAAUAUUAACAAAACAAAUGUUCACAGUGUGAUAGUUACAGUACUUACAACAUUCGAGCAUAUCAGAAGAUGCUGAUCAUUCUCCCACUCCUUCAUGGACUGAAUUAGGUAUUUAUGAAGAUAUAAUCUGGUAUACUGUAUUCUGAAUAUUGUUUUUAUUACAUAAAUCUUGAAGGUGAUUGCUGAGAUUUGUCAGAGUUUUUGAUUGCCAAUGAAGUUGUGGUGAACCAAGACAGUAAGGAAUAUGCUUUUAUUCUGUUGGAAAUAAAAUCUAAAUGGUAUUAAAUUCUUCAUGAAUAACAGUUGGAUACAAGAUUGAUGAUUAACUCAUUUGUUUUUAUUGUCAUGUUAAAAAAAAUGCUAGAGACUAAUUUAAUUGUUUAACAGUAAGCAUAUCAUCUAAUUCUUCAUCAGAGUAAUUAUUUAUCUUUGACAGAAGAGCAGUAACAGUCUAAAGCAUAGUAUUUAAAUUUGUGUUCAUAGUCAUAGAAACCAGAGACGGAAAAGACCUAUUUAAGUCAUCUUGCCCAUCACACUGCUAGGACAGGAUUGUUCCUUACAGUGCAUUUUCUAAUACUUUCCAUGCUCUAUUUACUAAGGCUUUUUAGAAAUGGUGCUUUGCCUGUUUCUGUUAGGACACUGUUAUGCAGUAAUAAUGUGUAUGCAGUAUUAGUUCCA